GUACUCACCCUGGCAGCACAUAUACUAAAAUUAAAACAAUAUAGGGAAGAUUAGCAUAGAAUAGCCCCUGAAUAAGGGUGAUAUGGAAUUGGUACAUAAUUUCACAUUUUUU